UACGAAGGGGGGCUAGCGUUGUUCGGAAUUACUGGGCGUAAAGCGCACGUAGGCGGAUUGUUAAGUUAGGGGUGAAAUCCCAGGGCUCAACCCUGGAACUGCCUUUAAUACUGGCAAUCUCGAGUCCGAGAGAGGUGAGUGGAAUUCCGAGUGUAGAGGUGAAAUUCGUAGAUAUUCGCAAGAACACCAGUGGCGAGGGCGGCUCACUGGCCCGGUACUGACGCUGAGGUGCGAAAGCGUGGGGAGCAAACAGGG
rnacentral:rRNA from 1 species